rnacentral:lncRNA from 1 species
AUUAGAUGUGUGUGUGCGCGCGCGCGUGUGUGUAUAGUCCGGCUACUAUGCUCUUAUGAGUACGAUUGAUUUCGUACUCAUAAGUUAUUUUCGAUGAUAAAGCUUUCGAAUCGACGAUCCAUACCGUUAAACAUUAUCUAGAGUAUUUAAAACUUCUAGAAAUCAAAUUUUAUAAUUUUUUGAUAUUAUUUACCUUACGAUCAAAAGCUCACACAUUAUUUACUUAUCAAACGGGUUGUCUAAAAAUAAACGCCUGAAAAUAAAAAUCUCAUAAAAAAUGAUAAUAAACGACUUGAAUUUAAGAUCAGAGAUAAGUAUUGAUCUUACUCUAAAUAGUGAAAAGAAUUUUCUAUAAAUUUUUUAUCAGAUUUGGAUUGUUUUACAUCGUUAAAUUCACAAACGCAUCACGUCAAUUGUCAAUUUUGAGACCUUUUGAUCACUAGCCAAAUGAUGUCGAAAAAUUAUGAAAUUUAGUUU